AGCGAACGCUGGCGGCAGGCCUAAUACAUGCAAGUCGAACGCCUGUAGCAAUACAGGAGUGGCAGACGGGAGAGUAACACGUGGGAACGUACCCUUCGGUUCGGAACAACCCAGGGAAACUUGGGCUAAUACCAGAUACGUCCGUAAGGAGAAAGAUUUAUUGCCGAAGGAUCGGCCCGCGUCUGAUUAGCUUGUUGGUGAGGUAACGGCUCACCAAGGCGACGAUCAGUAGCUGGUCUGAGAGGAUGAUCAGCCUCACUGGGACUGAGACACGGCCCAGACUCCUACGGGAGGCAGCAGUAGGGAAUAUUGGACAAUGGGCGCAAGCCUGAUCCAGCCAUGCCGCGUGAGUGAUGAAGGCCUUAGGGUUGUAAAGCUCUUUCGGCGGGGAAGAUAAUGACGGUACCCGCAGAAGAAGCCCCGGCUAACUUCGUGCCAGCAGCCGCCGUAAUAC
rnacentral:rRNA from 1 species